rnacentral:tRNA from 1 species
GCGGGUGUAGCUCAGUGGCAGAGCAUCUGCUUCCCAAGCAGAAUGUCGCGGGUUCGACCCCCGUCGCCCGCUCCA